rnacentral:tRNA from 1 species
UGCGGAAUCGUCUAAUCUGGCAGGACGACCGGCCCUGGACCGGCCAAUGAAGGUUCGACUCCUUCUUCCGCAUCCU